rnacentral:rRNA from 1 species
UACGGGGGGGAGCAAGCGUUGUUCGGAUUUACUGGGCGUAAAGGGCGCGUAGGCGGUCGUGACAAGUCACUUGUGAAAUCUCCGGGCUUAACUCGGAACGGUCAAGUGAUACUGUCGUGCUAGAGUACAGAAGGGGCAACUGGAAUUCUCGGUGUAGCGGUGAAAUGCGUAGAUAUCGAGAGGAACACCUGCGGCGAAGGCGGGUUGCUGGGCUGAUACUGACGCUGAGGAGCGAAAGCGUGGGGAGCGAACAGG